rnacentral:rRNA from 1 species
AAGCGUGCGCAGGCGGUUUUGUAAGUCUGAUGUGAAAUCCCCGGGCUCAACCUGGGAAUUGCAUUGGAGACUGCAAGGCUAGAAUCUGGCAGAGGGGGGUAGAAUUCCACGUGUAGCAGUGAAAUGCGUAGAUAUGUGGAGGAACACCGAUGGCGAAGGCAGCCCCCUGGGUCAAGAUUGACGCUCAUGCACGAAAGCGUGGGGAGCAAACAGGAUUAGAUAACCCCUGU